GAGGGGUGAAUAGUGUUUUAAAUUAUUUCCCAACAAUUGUUAUUGUAGGGGUUAAACGGUCUGCAAUAGUUGUUAAAUGUGUGUGUUUUUAAUAACACAUUUUAGGAAAACAUUUUAAACAAGGGAAGUACUGACACAAGUAUUUUUAUAUUGGUUCACUCAACCUAAGCUACUUCUACUCUCCCUUAAGACCUUUUCAAGGGUUCUACUAAUCUUCUUUAAAGAUUACAAAUGAGUACAAACCAGUCCUUGUAUACAUCGAGUAUUAUCAACCACUCUCAGUCCCCCUAGUCAAUCUUGACUAGUCUGAGUUUAACCAUUCCUGAUAUCAACCCCAG
rnacentral:lncRNA from 1 species